rnacentral:rRNA from 1 species
CAGUAGCCACGGUAAUACGAGGGGGGCAAGCGUUGUUCGGAAUUAUUGGGCGUAAAGGGUGCGUAGGCGGUUUGAUAAGUCAUCUGUGAAAUCUCUGGGCUCAACCCAUAGUCUGCACGGGAAACUGUCGGGCUUGAGAAUGGGAGAGGUGAGUGGAAUUUCCGGUGUAGCGGUGAAAUGCGUAGAUAUCGGAAGGAACACCUGUGGCGAAAGCGGCUCACUGGACCAUUUCUGACGCUGAUGCACGAAAGCUAGGGGAGCAAACAGGAUUAGAUACCCCCGUAGUCCCUGUCUCUUAUAC